CCCUUAGAUGUUCUGGGCCGCACGCGCGCUACACUGACGGAUUCAACGAGCUUACAACCUUGGCCGAAAGGUCUGGGUAAUCUCCAAAAUCCGUCGUGAUGGGGAUAGAUUAUUGCAAUUAUUAAUCUUCAACGAGGAAUGCCUAGUAAGCGCAAGUCAUCAGCUCGCGUUGAUUACGUCCCUGCCCUUUGUACACAUCGCCCGUCGCUCCUACCGAUUGAAUGGUCCGGUGAAGCGUUUGGACUAUGGUUUUCUGAUGGUCCGCCGUUGGAUUACCGUGGGAAGUUCGUUAAACCUUAUCAUUUAGAGGAAGGAGAAGUCGUAACA
rnacentral:rRNA from 1 species